GCUGGCGGCGUGCUUAACACAUGCAAGUCGAACGCGAACGUUUCCUUCGGGGAACUAGUAGAGUGGCGCACGGGCUGAGUAACGCGUAAGUAAUCUACCCUCGCAUUCGGGAUAACCCACCGAAAGGUGUGCUAAUACCGGAUACGUCUCAUUUAAUAUCUUUUGAUGAGAGAAAGGUGGCCUCUUGAAUCAAAGCUACUGUGCGGGGAGGAGCUUGCGUACCAUUAGCUAGUUGGUAGGGUAACGGCCUACCAAGGCGAUGAUGGUUAGCGGGUCUGAGAGGAUGAUCCGCCACACUGGAACUGGAACACGGACCAGACUCCUACGGGAGGCAGCAGUGAGGAAUAUUGCGCAAUGGGGGCAACCCUGACGCAGCGACGCCGCGUGGAUGAUGAAGGCCUUCGGGUUGUAAAAUCCUGUCAGAUGGGAAGAAGUGUGUAUCACCCAAUACGUGAUACAUUUGACGGUACCAUCAAAGGAAGCACCGGCCAACUCCGUGCCAGCAGCCGCGGUAAUACGGAGGGUGCAAGCGUUGUUCGGAAUUACUGGGCGUAAAGCGCGCGUAGGCGGCUAGAUAAGUCAGAUGUGAAAGCCCGCGGCUCAACCGUGGAAGAGCAUU
rnacentral:rRNA from 1 species